rnacentral:rRNA from 1 species
GCCAGACUCCUACGGGAGGCAGCAGUGGGGAAUAUUGCACAAUGGGGGGAACCCUGAUGCAGCGACGCCGCGUGGGUGAAGGAGUACUUCGGUACGUAAAGCCCUAUCAGCAGGAAAGAAAAUGACGGUACCUGACUAAGAAGCCCCGGCUAACUACGUGCCAGCAGCCGCGGUAAUACGUAGGGAGCAAGCGUUAUCCGGAUUUAUUGGGUGUAAAGGGUGCGUAGACGGGAAAUUAAGUUAGUUGUGAAAUCCCUCGGCUCAACUGAGGAACUGCAACUAAAACUGGUUUUCUUGAGUGUUGGAGAGGAAAGCGGAAUUCCUAGUGUAGCGGUGAAAUGCGUAGAUAUCAGGAGGAACACCGGUGGCGAAGGCGGCUUACUGGACAGUGACUGACGUUGAGGCUCGAAAGCGUGGGGAGCGAACAGGAUUAGAUACCCGGGUAA